rnacentral:rRNA from 1 species
UACGUAGGGUGCAACGUUUAAUCGGAAUUACUGGGCGUAAAGCGCACGUAGGCGGCUUUGUAAGUUAGAGGUGAAAGCCCGGAGCUCAACUCCGGAAUUGCCUUUAAGACUGCAUCGCUUGAAUCAUGGAGAGGUGAGUGGAAUUCCGAGUGUAGAGGUGAAAUUCGUAGAUAUUCGGAAGAACACCAGUGGCGAAGGCGACUCACUGGACAUGUAUUGACGCUGAGGUGCGAAAGCGUGGGGAGCAAACAGG